GAUUGCGAAAAAUGCAGGCCUAAAAAUUUGGAUUGGGAGUCAAAAAAGGUUAAAGACCAUUGCUUUCUUUAGAUCAUAGAUGGUUUCAUAUCCCAAUAAUUUACCGAAGUCUCUUGAUAAGAUCUACAUUCUGUGCACACGAAAUGUAAGCAUUGUAAACUGUAAUGUUUUAAGCGUCAAUAUGUAACGACUAUACUCUAUUCCAAAUAAGUUUGGAACAAUCAGUUAUGUCAGCCCGCUAUUAUAGUCAUCAGCUGUUUUAUAGUCGGUCGGCAGCCUGAACUUGCCGCUGUGUAAAGGAAAGUUAUUCGCAGUUUGCGCGUACGCGGAGUGUUGAAAAACAUAUGAUCAGGCUAUACACAAACGGUUCGUCGUCAACAGCGUUUACCUUCAGCAGAUCAGGUGACAACCAGCAAAUCAUGGGGGUCGUACAAUUAUUUUAACCAGAUUUAUUUGGAAUAGAGUAUAUUAUACACUAGUGCAUGCGCAGAAGGCGCAUCUCAUCCUGCAGAUUCCUUUGACGUCAAAUUGUUUAAACGGGCAAAAUGGCUGAAUCCAUAGGUAGUGUACCUUCGUGAUAUAUAUAAUCGGUCGUUCACUUUAUAUAUCAUUAUGGACAGCAGUAAAGAGUAUUACGCAAUUUCAUUUCGUACAAAACCUCAACAAGCAGAGUGACAAAAAAUAUUUUUGACAAGUUUAUCGUUUUGCGUACCUACGCAAUACACCACUUUUAGAUUUCGAUCGACUUAAUGUUAUGAGAUCAUCACCAAAAAUACAAACGAUAACAACGAAAAACCGUUUUCGAGUAAUUUACUAUUCCAAAAUUGUUCACAGAAACUUCAUCCUUAUAGUCUUUUGAGCCACCUAUUGUUAUUUUUAAUUAUUUUGAGGAAGUAU